CAGGUAAAAAUUAAGGGCGUAUGGUGGAUGCCUAGGGAUAUCGAGGCGAUGAAGGACGUUGCGUGCCUGCGAUAAGCUCCGGUGAGGUGGCAAGCAACCUUUGAC
rfam:Candidatus Sungbacteria bacterium RIFCSPLOWO2_01_FTLL_47_10 rifcsplowo2_01_scaffold_15537, whole genome shotgun sequence.